rnacentral:rRNA from 1 species
UACGGGGGGGGUAAGCGUUGUUCGGAAUUACUGGGCGUAAAGGGCUCGUAGGCGGCCAACUAAGUCAGACGUGAAAUCCCUCAGCUUAACUGGGGAACUGCGUCUGAUACUGGAUGGCUUGGAUUCGGGAGAGGAAUGCGGAAUUCCAGGUGUAGCGGUGAAAUGCGUAGAUAUCUGGAGGAACACCGGUGGCGAAGGCGGCUCACUGGACCGGAACUGACGCUGAGGCGCGAAAGCGUGGGGAGCAAACAGG